UACGAAGGGGGCUAGCGUUGUUCGGAAUUACUGGGCGUAAAGCGCGCGCAGGCGGUUUUCCAAGUCAGUGGUGAAAUCCCGGAGCUCAACUCCGGAAUUGCCUUUGAAACUGAUCGGCUUGAGUACGGGAGAGGUGAGUGGAAUUCCCAGUGUAGAGGUGAAAUUCGUAGAUAUUGGGAAGAACACCGGUGGCGAAGGCGGCUCACUGGCCCGUUACUGACGCUCAGGCGCGACAGCGUGGGGAUCAAACAGG
rnacentral:rRNA from 1 species